GAUGAACGCUGGCGGCGUGCCUAAUACAUGCAAGUCGAGCGAACAGACGAGGAGCUUGCUCCUCUGACGUUAGCGGCGGACGGGUGAGUAACACGUGGAUAACCUACCUAUAAGACUGGGAUAACUUCGGGAAACCGGAGCUAAUACCGGAUAAUAUAUUGAACCGCAUGGUUCAAUAGUGAAAGACGGUUUUGCUGUCACUUAUAGAUGGAUCCGCGCCGCAUUAGCUAGUUGGUAAGGUAAAGGCUUACCAAGGCAACGAUGCGUAGCCGACCUGAGAGGGUGAUCGGCCACACUGGAACUGAGACACGGUCCAGACUCCCACGGGAGGCAGCAGUAGGGAAUCUUCCGCAAUGGGCGAAAGCCUGACGGAGCAACGCCGCGUGAGUGAUGAAGGUCUUCGGAUCGUAAAACUCUGUUAUUAGGGAAGAACAAAUGUGUAAGUAACUAUGCACGUCUUGACGGUACCUAAUCAGAAAGCCACGGCUAACUACGUG
rnacentral:rRNA from 1 species